GCAGCCGCGGUAAUUCCAGCUCCAAUAGCGUAUAUUAAAGUUGCUGCAGUUAAAAAGCUCGUAGUUGAAUUUCGGGAUCAAUUUACUGGUCGUGCCUAUGGUACGUACUGGUUUUGUUGGUUCCUCCUUUCUGAGGAGCCGCGAUGUCAUUAACUUGGUGUCGUGGGGAAUCAGGACUGUUACUUUGAAAAAAUUAGAGUGUUUAAAGCAGGCUAACGCUUGAAUACAUUAGCAUGGAAUAAUGAAAUAGGACGUUUGAUUCUAUUUUGUUGGUUUCUAGGGUCGACGUAAUGAUUAAUAGGGAUAGUUGGGGGCAUUAGUAUUCAAUUGUCAGAGGUGAAAUUCUUGGAUUUAUUGAAGACUAACUACUGCGAAAGCAUUUGCCAAGGAUGUUUUCAUUAAUCAAGAACGAAAGUUAGGGGAUCGAAGACGAUCAGAUACCGUCGUAGUCUUAACCAUAAACUAUGCCGACUAGGGAUCGGAUGAUGUUAAUUUUUUAAUGACUCAUUCGGCGCCUUACGGG
rnacentral:rRNA from 1 species